rnacentral:lncRNA from 1 species
UCUCCUGCUAUUUCCUCUUCUCCUGCCUCCCCUCUAUCCACUGCUUCUCCUUCUUUCAAUCCUACUAUUUCUCUUCCUGAUUUGCCAGUCUCUCAGCCUGUUACCAUACCCAAAAAAUCCACUAGACAACACAACCCUCCUUUCUUCCUCAAGGACUAUGUUUACCAACUUCCAGCCUUUUCUGGUUCUUCUUCCUCCAAUUUGGAAUCUGAACCC